rnacentral:rRNA from 1 species
UGGGGAAUCUUGCACAAUGGGGGCAACCCUGAUGCAGCGACGCCGCGUGAGCGAUGAAGCCCUUCGGGGCGUAAAGCUCUUUCGACCGGAACGAUAAUGACGGUACCGGGAGAAGAAGCUGCGGCUAACUACGUGCCAGCAGCCGCGGUAAUACGUAGGCAGCAAGCGUUGUUCGGAGUUACUGGGCGUAAAGAGUGCGCAGGCGGUUUUCUAAGUUCGGUGUGAAAUCUCCCGGCUUAACUGGGAGGGUGCGCCGAAGACUGGGAAGCUGGAGUGUGGGAAAGGCAGGCGGAAUUCCAGGUGUAGCGGUGAAAUGCGUAGAUAUCAGGAGGAACACCGGCGGUGUAGACGGCUUGCUAGACCAUAACUGACGCUGAGGCACGAAAGCGUGGGUAGCAAACA